rnacentral:rRNA from 1 species
AACGAACGCUGGCGGCAUGCCUAAUACAUGCAAGUUGAGCGAUGAUAUUCUCUGCUUGCAGAGAAUUGAAGAGUAGCGAACGGGUGAGUAACACGUGGGGAACCUGCCCAUGAGAGGGGGAUAACAUUCGGAAACGGAUGCUAAUACCGCAUAAUGCUUUGGACCGCCUGGUCCAGAGACGAAAGACGGCUUUUGCUGUCACUCAUGGAUGGCCCCGCGCCGUAUUAGCUAGUUGGUGAGGUAAUGGCUCACCAACGCUGUGAUACGUAGCCGACCUGAGAGGGUGAUCGGCCACACUGGGACUGAGACACGGCCCAGACUCCUACGGGAGGCAGCAGUAGGGAAUCUUCCACAAUGGGCGAAAGCCUGAUGGAGCAAUGCCGCGUGAAUGAAGAAGGUCUUCGGAUCGUAAAGUUCUGUUAUUAGAGAAGAACAAGUCAAGGAGUAACUGUCUUGACUUUGACGGUACCUAAACAGAAAGUCACGGCUAACUACGUG